rfam:Clostridiales bacterium S7-1-4 contig06, whole genome shotgun sequence.
UACUCAUUAAGAGUGGUGGAGGGAAUAGGCCCUUUGAAACCCGGCAACCCAGACGGUGCCAAAUCCUACAGUUCGACUGAAAGAUGAGUU